rnacentral:lncRNA from 1 species
CAAGGAUCGAACUUGCAUCCUCAUGGACACUAUGUUUGGUUCUUAAUAGGAACUUCUGUAAUUACAUUUUUUAAAAAAACAUUGUACACUUGAAACUAACAUUGAAAAUUAUAUCUCAAUAAAAAAUAAAUAAUACAAAAAUAAAAAUGAGGAAGAGAAAAACUGAGAAAAAGUUGCAGCACACAUUUUUCUCCUUAAUGCAUUGCACGUUUUCUUUAGUUAAUAAUUACAUUAAAAGAUUGAAAGCAUUUUAUCAAAUAGAAACAUAAUUUAUUUGUGGCUCAUAAAAUUUAUUACCUUAACAUCAGUUUGAGAUAUUGUAUGUAUUACAACACUGUAAUGUUCUAGAUUGGUUCCAUAAGCUAUGAUUUCAUCCUUUUACAGUCUUCCAUAAACACAUAGAUUAGAAAAUUUUUAAAUGACUAAAAAUAAUUGCAUUUUAAAGAUUUUUUCCCGUGUUUGUUGAAGUGACCAAAUAUUUUUCAUCUUUUGAUAUUAUAAAAUCAAUAGAUUUUAUAAAUGCUCAAUCAUUCCUUUUAUAUGGUUGUUCCUUAUUUUGCGAUUUAAAAAACAUAAACUCUCUUCAUUUUCUUAUAGCUGAAAGUACCUUUAUUUUACCUACAAUUUUAAAAUGGUUUAUUUUUUAUGUAUUAGAUUCACAAUUAUUUGUCCUAGAAAAAAUAUAUUUAUAUAUUCCAUAUUUUUUUUGUUCUCAAACUAGAAUGUGCUAUGUUCAAUGAGGGCAGGAAUUUCUGUCUCUUGGUCAUAGCUCUCUCUAGAGCAUGAAUACCAAUGUCAGGCCAACAAUAAGAACAUGAUAAGUAUUUAAAUAGAUAAAUGAAACCAACUGCUGUUCAUCUAUAUGUUGUAGUUUACUUGCAAUUCAUUCGUAAAUAAUCAGUUCUCUCUCAAGUAGUUUUGCAAAGACUUUGUUCUUUUAUAUGUACUUUCCUCAGUGUUUCUAUAAUGUGUUGAUAGGAAUUUAUACUUAUAUUUAUCCUGCACUUGAAAUCCAUUUUCUCUCUAUUUUUUUAAUUCUGCUAAACUCUUGAUGGUUAUCUAUUUAAACACUGGAACUCGGACAUUUCCUACAUUCUCUGGAACUCAUUUAAGAAUGCAAGCACAGCUCAAUCUCUCCUCUGUUCCUCUUACCUUUUCGUUAAUGUAUUUUUAGGUCUCUGUAACGAAUUCUGAGUUAACUACUAAAUAUAUUUCAAUUCACUAAUUAUUUCUUCAUGGGCAAAAUGGAAUAAAAAUUACCUUCUCUAUUAACUAUUGAUUUUGUUGCUAAUAUUAUUUAUUCUUAUCUGUCCUUCUUUUACAUCUAACUGUACCAGUUUCAUCAUUUAUUUGUUUGGUUUUCUUUGUCAGUUUGAGCUCUCUAUUAUGCGUAUUUUAAAUCCUUCUCAGAUUGCUUCCUAUACGUUAAAUUCAUCUCAAAUAAACUCAUGUCUCAAGUGCUGAUUUUUUUUAUGCAAACAAGUGUUAUAAACAUGUUAUAAUAUGUUUUUAACACUUUGUUCUUUCAUGUGUGUGGUUAUUUAUUUAUUUAUUUAUUUUUGUCUUUCUAGGGCCUCACCCACAGCAUAUGGAGGUUCCCAGGCUAGGAGUCUAAUCAGAGCUGCAGCUGCCGGCCUACGCCACAGCCACAGCAACUCGGGAUCCGAGCCACGUCUGUGACCUAUACCACAGCUCACGGCAAUGCCAGCUCCUUAACCCACUAAGCGAGGCCAGGGAUCGAACCUUCAACCUCAUGGUUCUUAGUUGGUUUUGUUAACCACUGAGCCACAACAGGAACUCCCUUCACGUGUUUUUUAAUUUUGGUUUGGAGAUUCAUUUUCAACAGGAAGUGUUUUUAUUUUGUAUUACUUUCAUUAUUAUUAUCAUUAUUAUUUAUUUUCUCUCCUUGAUAGCAAUUUUGUAUUCUUCUAUUUGACAGGUCUACAAUCUAGAAUGGAGUCUUAAACAUUUGUAGUUACUACAAAUCAUCAUGAACCUAGUAGUAGGUUAAAUUUGUCUUUUGAGGGUGUGUUUUGCUUUUCCCUGCUGGCCCUAGCCUACCUAGUAUCAACAGUUUCUGAUGAAAUCAAAGGCCAAGACUGUGGUCAUGUUAUUUUCACCAUCGUCCAUGAGGCCUUCUAUACACAUUUCCCUAAAGCAGUGAAUUUGGCUCCAGUAUCCCAGGCCUGACAUACAGUUUAGUCUGCAUGAUCUCCUGGUCCUCAUAGCAGGUCUUUAGCUUAGAAUCCUGCAGUGGUUUCAGACCUACUCACUUCCUACAGUUUCUAUGUUAUUUCAUGGAGAUGCUCAUUUUUCUUUUGAGCCUAUAAAUGUCCUUUUGAUUUUUCUAUGUUUUUACUUUUUUUGAAGUUUUGGUUUUUAGCAGAAAAUGUAAUCAAGUGGGUAAUGACAGCUUUGUCUUGAACAUUUAUGCUAUGACUUAGUUGACAUUACCUUUAGAUUUUUGAGUUAGAGACUCACUAAAUAUUCAUAAGAAAAACUAAAUUUUUCUGAAUAGGAAUAUUAUGUCUGUCAUGUUCUAAGUAUUGCAAAGGUAACAACUCAAUACUUAAAAACAUUCUUAUGAGGUACAUACUAUCAGCCAAUUUUCCUGACGAGAAAACUAAAUGAUAGAGUAGUUUUAAAGAAGUUUCCCAAAGCUGUAAAAUUUGAAGCUGUAGCAUCAAGGCCAGAACUGAAACGGAUUCAACCAAAUAUCAAGUACUUCGGUAACUUCUUAAAAUCUAUGUUGUCAUUAGGCAGUGACCACUGAUUACCUUGCUGGGAAACUUUUAUUUGUUCUUUAUGUCGUGACAAAAUGGCAUGCUUCUUGUAUUCUUUAUGACUGUUUACAACAUAGCAUAUGUCAUCAUCACUAAAUGUCUUUAACAGUGGUUAAAAAAAAGAGAAAGCAAUUUCGUUACAUGCCUAGAGGAGAGUAAGCUCUUUCUACAUAACUCCAUCUCCUGAUGCACAUUACUUGUGGGAUGGCUGACUAUUAGAAUGAACAAAAUCUCCUUUCAGCUUUGUGAAUCCAUCUAAAAGAUGCCUGAAGGUGAAGGUGAGUUAUGCAGUAUAUUCUGAAAGCAUAAAAUUUUGUAUGACUGCAUUUCUGACAUACAUGAGUUCAACAGCCUGAGAAUUCAUGCAUUAUACAUAGCGACACAGCCUCUAGUCCUAGUAACUACUUGCUAGAUGCAUGACAGCUAUAAGUACUCUGUCUAUCACAGACUUUCAUAAAAUUUAUUAUGACUGGACUUCAAGCUAAGUGUCUAAUCCUGUAUUUGAUCUAUGAGCUUUCUAAAUCCUGGGGCUCAUUCAUUCAAGAACAAUUAUUGUACUACUUAUGUUACUAAGACUUCACUAUAAUAUUCCACCAGUCUCAAAAAAGAGAAAAGAAUAUGUCAGGAAAAACCUAUUCCAAUUUUAGCUUUGUUUACUAAUUAACUAUUUGACCUUGGACAUAUUACUGUGCAUCUCUGAGAUUCAUUUUUAUUUGUAAAUCACACUGUUUCUACAUAGAACCCCUUCUAAAAUACUAAAGUAAGAUUGUGAUAAAAUUAUAUACUCAAAGAGAACAGACCAGAUUAUUUUUUUCUCUCCUGGUUAUAACAUUAAAAAGUACUAUAUAUUUUACUUUAGAUUAUUUUAUGAAAAUAUCAAGCAAAUAUUCAAAACUACAGUACACAUUUUCCUUUUUUAUUUUGAAUGUUGAAUUAUACACUGAAUGUAGUUUCCAAUUAGGUUAAUCUUCUGUUGAGCUUUAGAGAAAGUUAGGAUCUCUAUGUUUAGGUAAUCUAUGUAGGGAUCCACAUAAUAGGAAAUCUAAGUGUAUAGUUCUUUUUAUACUGAUUGGUAAUCUAAGAACAUUACUACAACACACAUUGACUAAAUAAAAAUACGUUAUAUUGCCUUUCUCCUGGAAAAUGUAUGCAAAUAUAAUUUACCAAUUUUUAUUACAUAUAUUAUACAUAACAUAUAUUAUAUGUGUGUGUGUUUUCCUAUAACUGACAAUGGAAAUUUUAGUUAUUUUUAUAUAUUUGCAUAUAUGGCCACUUUUGAAAUUCAUUUUGCCUUUACAAUAAUAACAUAAAAUAUUAAAUUUCAUAGAGUAUAUGUUAAUGGGAACUUCACACUAAAUAUAAUUUUUAUGAUAAAAAUAAAGGUUCUGCUUAUGACUAAUAAAAUUUGGAAACUUAUCAAUAAGUAUUAGUGAAAGGCUAUUUAAAAUUUCACAGUUUCUAAUCAAUUCUAAGAUUUUGUUGAGCUUUAGAAAAAAUUAGGAACUCUAUUUAUGUGCAGCAAUCCAUGUAGGAGUCCACAUAAUGAAAAUAUAGAAAGGCUUCACAGAAUUUAUAUAGCAUAAAGAUACAUAUCUGAAGAAAAUCAAAAACCUUCCUGGGUGACUCUCAAUAAAGGGAUUGUUUUUCAGGGAAGUAAUUAUCAUAAGUGUUGGUGGGGUACAAUGAAAAAUAAAUAUCAAAUAUGGGGAAUUACUCAAGAAACAGAAAGCUCCUGACCAUAAGGCUUAGAAGCAAUUUUUGUCUUCAGUCUUUAGUUGUACACAAAGCAAUGUGUGUACACAACAUGUGUGUGUACACAUGAACAUGUAUAUAUAUGUAUAUAUAUAUAUAAUACUUCUAAUAUAUACUUUAGUUUCUAAUUAUAUAUAAUGCCUUCUGAUUUCAAUUGCUGUAUACAGACAUACAUACAAACACAUGCACAUACAGAUAAAAAUUCUAAGAGAAAAUAAUGUAUAUAUCAUAUGUAAAAAUAUAUACACCCUAUAUGUCUAGAUUAUCUAGAUAGGUAGAUAUCAAGAUAGAUAUGAUAAAUAUAUAGAUAUGGUAUUUUUUCUCUCAUUAGAGUUAGCUUUAAAAUAAUUUCUUUUUUUUUUUUUUUUUUUUUUUUUUUUNAUUGGCCAAGAGCCCAGGACCAUGUAAUGAAUUAUAAAUCUAUUAAGGCAAGUUUAGUGGUACUAAAUUCAAAAGUCAAGGCUUUGGUCUCAGGCAGGUGUAAGGAAUUUGCACAUAAAGGGAUUCAGAACUGAAUAAGAAUGGGAUCAGAAUUGGCAAUUAAGAAGUUUAGAAGAGGGAGUUCCUGUCCUGGUGCAGCAGAAGAGAAUCCGACUAGGAACCAUGAGAUUUCAGGUUCCAUCCCUAACCUAGUUCAGUGGGUUAAGGAUCUGGCCUUGCUGGGAGCUGGGGUGUAGGUCAUGGUGUAGGUCGUGGUGUAGGUCGCAGAUGCUGCUCAGAUCUGUCAUUGCUGUGGCUCUGACCGAGGCCAGUGGCUAUAGCUCUGAUUCAACCCCUAGCCUGGGAACCUCCAUAU